AUCCGUCCAACCCCUGCACUUCCUCCCCGCCUCCGACGCCUCCGCCUCCGCCUCGACCGGGGUUCAGAUUGAUCUCCUCCAUCUGUGCAUGCGUCGGUCCCGGCGUCUGCUCCUGUGGCGGCUCGUCUCCCCUCCAGCCGGUGCCUGGUGUCCGUGGACUGACACUGGUACACGGGCGAGAUGCUGGUGCGCUUCGCGGUCGUGCUGGGCGGGUGCAAGUUCGAGGCCGCCGUGGCAUGCGCCGAGGGGUCCGGCCGCGUCACUGUCUCGAUGUCGAGGACGCCGACGGCGCUGCGGUCAACGUUGAGGGGUCCGGCACGCUGCGGCUCCUCGCCGCAACGAUGGAGGCAUCCAGGAGGGGAGGGGAGCGGGACCAGGAGGAGGCCAAGAGGCGGUACCUUGAGUUCAUGAGGCGAAAGAAGGGGAGGAAGGAGAGCGAGGCGCGACGCGAGGCGCUCGUGGACCUGUGCUGCUCCACCGCCAGCGCUGCCGUCGUGCUCUCCUACCUCUCGCCGCGGUCGCGCUUCGGUGAUCGGCACCUGCCUGCCGGCCGCCCGGAGAGGGCGGCCGCUGGAUGUAGAGCUGCAAUGAGUUGGUCAAGAAAUGGGGAUCCUGAGUUGAAUAUGAUAUCAAAUCUUGUGGACCCGGAUAAAAUUUGUAGCGACGCCAGAUUGGAGCGGGUGAGGUGUAUAGAUUGAUAAAUUAGCAUGCCGGGGCUUUGCCCAGUGUGUAGAAUAUUCCUGGUACACUAUACUUCUUUAUUCUCUUUUCAAUCACCUGAUGUAAGAAUGAAUAAUAUAUUUAUAUUAUAACAUUCAAGGCUUCAAGCUACUUGGGUUCAGUAGGUUUCAAGAAUGAAUGAUUAGUAUUGGCUAUUCCCAUAAAUGAUUCGUAGUGUUGGGUCAUCCCCAUGUGGUGAAGAUUUUUUACUUUUAGAAACUUUUUUGGAGUGGAGAUGGCUUGAUUUGAGAUCAUUGCAAACUGAGAGGACAGACUCAGGCCCAAAAUUAGAUCCUAGCUUAGGCAUUGUUGAGCUUCUUGUCCAAAAUAGAUGAUAACUCUGAGCCUAAGAUAUACCCAAUUGGUAUUUAAACAUUAAUUAUUACAGCUCAGGAUGAAAAUGAAAAUGGUUGUUCCAUAUUCAGUAUAUGGAUCUUUCAGGCAAAAGAAAAAUAACUUAUCCACAAUUUGCAAGUGGGAUGUCUCUCUAAUCUUUAAAUAUCACUAGGAUGAUGGAACUAGACGUGUCUAUGUGGUUGGUGCUCGUGCUGCAGCUGGUUUGAUUUUAACUGUUGCCAGUGAGUUUUUCACGGAAUCAGGGCAGACACUUGUACGUGGAACUCUAGAUUAUUUACUAGGAAUGAAAGUUUGUCUAAUCACAUCUUCAACAGUGACAAUAAUUAGAUAAACAUCUGGUUAGAUAGUAAUCCUAUAGAUGCUCGGAAUAAAACGGACUGAAAGGGUUCUUCCAACUGGAACCUCUUUGACGAUUGUUGGUGAGGUAGUAUUUGCAUCACUAAUUGGUCUAUGUUUUGUUGCAUUACUUCUUGUUGACAUGUCUAAUGUAUUAUGUUUUGUCUUUUCCUUUUGUUUAUUAUUAUUUUAUAGGAACAGGCCAUUAAAGAUGAUGUUGGAACUGUUCAAAUUCAGCAACUAGACAAAGGACCAUUUUAUGGAUCACCAACUUAUCUUGAAUCUUGGAAAAUGGUCCAGAACAAGGCCCAGCUUGUUGUCAUUGCUCAUGAUGUGGAUCCGAUUGAACUUCUGUGCAGGAAGAUGGAGUUCCCUUACUGCAUUGUUAAAAGGAAAGGCUCUCCUUGGAUCGAUUGUUCACAAGAAGACCGCAUCCGUGCUGUGCCUUACCACUGUCAAGAAUGAGGACAAGCUCGAGUUUAGCAAGAUCUUGGAGGCAAUUAAGAUAGGAAAGAAUGGCAUAUUGUGAUCUGAUUGGUAUCAUGUGGUUAUGAUCCCUCUUAAAAUGACUCGAAUUGUACUCCAGACAAACCAUCUUGACUGUUUAUUUACACACUAUAAUGCUGGAUAGACACCUUUGAUGGAUAGUGUACCCACGCUGCUCAAAUGUUAGCAUAUUAACCAUGUAUUUAUUCCCAUAUGAUGUGAUUUUGUGUUGAAAUUAUCCUA